rnacentral:lncRNA from 10 species
UCAUCCAGAUGGGUGUCUGCCACAAGGGAGGCCCCAACAGCGAUGGCUGCAAACCCUUGGAGGUGGCAUUGCCAAAAGCGGACGUCAAUAGAUGUAAUGCAAAAAUAGUGUCUUGUGUUCAAAAAAGGUUGGGAAAUACUGAGUGAAAGAACAGUGCCUGCUGCUCAGUCAAUGCCUGAUGAUGGAGUGAACAGAUUUCUGCUUUCUGUGGCCACCUCUGGGCCACAGAAAGGCCCAGAGGUUACAAGCAACCUCUGGUCUUUGAAGAAGGAGCAAAAGGACAGAGAAGUAUGAAAAGGAGCCCCGUUUGGAUGCACCCACUGAGCACUGAAGGGGAGGACUCUUAGGUGGCCCCAUCCUUUGCAAACAGGCUCAGUGGUUCUCCCGCGCUCACCCCAAGGCCCAGAAUCCAUGCAUACAUGUAGGGUGGGGCAGGCCGGCUCACGCUGACACGUCCAGCCUCUGCCCAGCUCCUCUGCUGGAGUCUCUGCAGGGAAUUUGGCAGAGCUUGGUCAUUCCUUCACUAAUUCAGCCGUUGUAGAAAAGCCACCCAGUUAACAGGUCUGAGCCAUUUCCUCUCAUCCUGGGGACUAGAGGUGACUGCCACUUUGAGGCCAGUUAAGAGUUCUUGGCCCUUCCUGGAAACCCUGCACUGCUGGGAAGUGGGUGGACACACACUUCUGAGAAUGAAUUCCAAGCGAAUUUUCCCAUCAUUUCUUUCCCCCUAGCAGUGCAAGGCUGGGGCACACAGGGAGAGAAUGUCUCUCUCACAUGUCAACUCCCAUGGUCUCAACUAGGCCUCGGGGGAAAGAGAAUGGGGCAUUCCAGGAUGGGAAUUCCAGGGUGGGCAUUCCAAGGAGUAAGAGGAAUUCUGGGAAGGAGGACACUCGUGAUGCAUGCAUGGCCCAUCCAGAAGGUCCAGGAUCAUCUCCCCAGCCCAAGCCUUUAAUCACAUCUGCGAAGACCCCCCUCUUCCUAUAGAAGGUGACACGGUCCCAGGUUCUGGGAAUUAGGACACAGACACCUCUGUUCAGCUGACCACAGCCACUGGGGGACCCACUGUUGAUCCCCCAUCCAUUCUGAUAAAGGCUUUCAUGAUGUCAGAAA